rnacentral:rRNA from 1 species
UACGAGGGGGGCGAGCGUUGUUCGGAAUUAUUGGGCGUAAAGGGUGCGUAGGCGGUCGGGUAAGUCUGAUGUGAAAUCUCACAGCUUAACUGUGAAACUGCAUUGGAUACUAUCCGGCUAGAGGAAUGGAGGGGAGACUGGAAUACUUGGUGUAGCAGUGAAAUGCGUAGAUAUCAAGUGGAACACCAGUGGCGAAGGCGAGUCUCUGGACAUUUCCUGACGCUGAGGCACGAAAGCCAGGGGAGCAAACGGG